UUUGUGUUGUAUGACUGAGAUGUACGAGUUUUGCAAGCGCUAAUUUAUACAGAGCUACAUUGUAAUUUCAUCUUCAAAACACGAAAACGUUCGUCCUAAGCCGUCAGUGGUGGUUAUUUUAUGGUCAAGUUUCCGUCAAUGUUAUUUAUUCCCAUUCAUUUGCAUAUUUAGUAUCUACCCCACAUGAUAUUAUAACCAAUGACCUGCACUUGGUUAACAUCAAUGGUGAUAUAUCCUCAUGCUUAUGCUCGCGACGCCAAUCAAAACACUAUCCCUAUUGUGCGCAAACCAUGAGGAUUUAACACUUUAUAAAUAAAACGUCAUUUUCAGUUUCACGACAAAACAUUUUAUAAUAGAGCUAUCACACCGUGCAAAGGAUUGUGGUAUGUUUAAAGAUGUUUGAAGCCAAAGCAGGAUUAUUCAUAUUUGAUUAUAAAAUAUUUGUCUGAUCCACGAGCUUUUGAGUGCCAGUCUGUAGCGAAACCUGCCCAUUGAAGACUGCAGACUAGCAGUCGAAUGCUCGUAGAUUUAAUAAAUAUUUUAAACCAGAGCCGCAUUGCUACGAAAAAGUCUUUGUUCAAAACGUUGAGAAGUGUUCUCUUUUGAUAAACUGUGUGGCAAGUUCAUAUCCACAACGGAUUAUUCGUUGAUAACUUGAGGCAGAUAGCAAAAUUAUAUUGCAUGGUAUAUUACACUUUAGUGUCUAUGUAAAAUAUCAUACUUAUGUUUAAAGAAAUAUUACUGUAAUAAUUCUAUUUUCGAUAUAACCCUGUAUAAUACAUUAAAAAACUCAUUAAUAAUUCAUGAAGAAAACACAAAGAAAAAUCAUAAGCGUGUCGUAUCUGUAUAUGUGAUACAGAUUCAUGUUGAUUUACAUAAACUUUAACUUUGAUUUUCUCGGCUUAGACAACGUUUAUUUUUAAAAUUACUUCGCCAAUGAACUCAUGAGAUGAGUCGUUUUUUAAGUUGUUUA